UGGGGUCUGGUGCCUCUGGACCCCACCAUGGAUGCCAUGCCCUUGGCCCAUAUUGACAGUGCCUGUGGUGGAGGAGGACACUGGCUGGUGGAUGGCAUGCUAGCAUGGAACAGCGGAUCCCCCACUUCUAUACUACUGUGUAUUGAGCUGGUCCCUAAGUGAAUUAUGAUUGAUUGCAUAACACAGUAGUAAGCUACGAUAACGAGGUAAUGAGCAAGGAUUAACACCUACCAAACCAUAGACUAACGAGAGGGAAGAAUCAAACAGAGCUGAGAACUCUUUGAAACUUCACUGUUAAAGGUACAAAAGCCUCGGUUUGAACUAAUGAAUGCUGGAGACCGACUCUUGGGACUGAAUAUCCCCUGAUCAACUGCUUUCAGAGCCCUAUUCAUCACAGAAGUGAAUUAAUCAAAAUUCAUCAAUGGACUCCUGAGACUGCACGUACAUGAGGACAUGACCCCUGGAGCUGACAGCUGCCAUCCAGUAGCCACCAAGGGGGAUGUCCCAUGAGGUCAACGACCCCUGGAUUGGGGGAAGAAAUAAGAUGGGUUUGGCCCCAUGCUCCCAAAGCCACCUUCUUGACAGCCUACUAAAUCGCCCGUGGCAGAUUUCAAUACCUAUUUAUCAGCCUGGCAGCAACUUAUCCCGGUGGAGGGGUCUGGGACCAUACAUCCACAUUGAAUGGAUUUUCUGGACGGCAAUUAUAGUUAUAGGACUGGUGCAACUUUCCAAUGGUGACUCUGGAGAGCCAAGAGACAGAAGCACUAUGUGAAACUUCACAACAUUUCACACUUUGUGAAACAUUGCAACAUUUCUCAGAUAAGAUGUUCAGCAACUGCUACAGUCUCCUGCCUUUCCUCAGAUUGUGGCUUGGCCAUGCACAGUGGCACGCAGUGGCAAUGGUAAGUCAAGUGGUCAUAAACAGCAGCCAGGAGGCCACUGCAGGCCACCAAACAAUCCCCCCCACCCCACUAUGUCCUUUGUGGGCAAUCUUGCAAUGGUUUAUGACGGGCCGCAGGCAACUGGCCAUCACCUGAACACUUUCCUCUCCCCGCACCAUCUACCCAUGCAAAACAACCACUAUGAUGCACGGUUGCACAGCCCUCAGUGCCAGAAGUCAUGAUGUGAAGAGCUCCAGGACAACUGUUGUGAGGGUCCUGCAUAGGGAUACCAUAUUUCCAGUUCUAAAAAAGAGGACACCUGUCCAGGGGGGAGGGGCAACGGUUGUUUGGGGUGGGGCAUUUCUAACUGUUACAGUAAAUAACAAGUGUUAUUGCCUCAGAAAUUUAAUGAGAAACAAAAGCAUUAAGUAAAUGCUGAAAUUGCACUCAGCUAGCAGACUGCACUCCUGCUUUAUGCAGUGUCUGCUCAAUCACUACAGUAAGAACUAGGUUUUCUUUUUUCUGUUUAAAAAUUGAAAAUUGUCUCAUAAAUAACCUGAGUUCACUGAUUUAAAAAAAUCUGGACCUGCAUUUUUCCAUGAUUAAAUUGAAACACCACUAUAUAUAUAUUGCUGUCAAUUUAACACGUUU